CCUACGGGGGGCUGCAGUGAGGAAUAUUGGUCAAUGGACGAGAGUCUGAACCAGCCAAGUAGCGUGAAGGAUGACUGCCCUAUGGGUUGUAAACUUCUUUUAUAUGGGAAUAAAAUGUUCCACGUGUGGGAUUUUGUAUGUCCCAUAUGAAUAAGGAUCGGCUAACUCCGUGCCAGCAGCCGCGGUAAUACGGAGGCUCCGAGCGUUAUCCGGAUUUAUUGGGUUUAAUGGGAGCGUAGGUGGAUUGUUAAGUCAGUUGUGAAAGUUUGCGGCUCAACCGUAAAAUUGCAGUUGAAACUGGCAGUCUUGAGUACAGUAGAGGUGGGCGGAAUUCGUGGUGUAGCGGUGAAAUGCUUAGAUAUCACGAAGAACUCCGAUUGCGAAGGCAGCUCACUGGACUGCAACUGACACUGAGGCUCGAAAGUGUGGGUAGCAAACAGGAUUAGAUACCCGAGUAGUC
rnacentral:rRNA from 1 species